GACGAACGCUGGCGGCGUGCCUAAUACAUGCAAGUCGAGCGCAGGAAGUCAUCCGAACCCUUCGGGGGGACGUUGACGGACUGAGCGGCGGACGGGUGAGUAACACGUAAAGAACCUGCCCUCAGGUCUGGGAUAACCACGAGAAAUCGGGGCUAAUACCGGAUGGGUCAUCGGACCGCAUGGUCCGAGGAUGAAAGGCGCUCCGGCGUCGCCUGGGGAUGGCUUUGCGGUGCAUUAGCUAGGUGGUGGGGUAAUGGCCCACCAAGGCGACGAUGCAUAGCCGACCGGAGAGGGUGAUCGGCCACACUGGGACUGAGCCACGGCCCAGACUACUACGGGAGGGAGCAGUAGGGAAUCUUCCACAAUGGACGAAAGUCUGAUGGAGCAACGCCGCGUGAACGAUGAAGGCCCUCGGGUCGUAAAGUUCUGUUGUAAGGGAAGAACAAGUGCCGCAGGCAAUGGCGGCACCUUGACGGUACCUUGCGAGAAAGCCACGGCUAACUACGUG
rnacentral:rRNA from 1 species